GGUCGUCACUCGAUCCAUCCAGACUCUUCGCUCACGUUCGCGUUUGCUCUCUCUUCUCGUUGCUGAGCACGUCGCUUGCCGCUGCUCCUGCCGUCGCCCGCGUGAGCCGCCGUGCGCCGCGCGCUGCUGCCGCCGCGCCGUCCGCCGACCGAGCCUGGCCUGCCGUCGCCGUCCUGCUCACCGCGUGCCUACGCCACCGCGCCUCGUGCUGUCCGCCUGCCGCGCGCGCGCCGCAUGCAGCUGCGCGCCACUUGCCGCCGUGCUUUGUGCCGGCUGCUGUGUUUUGUGCUGGCCACCGUGAGAGAAGGAAGAAGCAAGCCACAGAGCCAGCGCAGGAAGAAGAAGCCAGGAAAGAGAAAGGAAGAAAGAGGAAAAAAAAAAGAAGAAGAGAAAAAGAGAAAAAAAAAAAGAAAAAGGGGAAAGUUGGAAAUUUCGGAUUUUCGUCGGAUUCGUCGUCAAUUUUUCGAAGGCGAUUUCUCGGUGGUACUAUUUCUGGACGUUCUUGAUCGAAAUUUUCUUCAUCGUCGGUAAAGGCAAGUGAAUGUAUUGUAUGACUACGCUUUAACCUGUUAUUGGGUUACCUACAUUCUUUAAUUACAAUGCAUUCAUCUGAUCUGAAUAACUGAUUAUGAGCUGGUUACUAUGCUGUUUACUUUUCCAGAAGUUUACUCGAUGAUUGAUCUAUGAAGUGCAGUAAGUACGAUAUGCCAUUCUGCAGUUGUUCAUUAUUGUUUUAUGCAAUGUUGUUUUAAGUCUCAAGCAUUUUUCGGGAGUUAUGUCGGUUAUGCUUGAAGCACGUCAUACAUAUAUAUCUCAUGCAUUGGAAGUUUGUCGUCGUCUUCUGGCCGCGACCGUACCGGUACAGUACCGUAUGUCACCCGAGGAGGGGUACGGUGCACACCCUUACGUUACCCGAGGAGGGGUAUGUUUAGAUGUUGACGUGCAUUUUGGGGAUGGAUCUUGGUAGCUGCACACACUACCUCAUCACCAUGUUGAUAGCUCAACCGGUGUUAUAAAUGGUGUUUUUGGUGGUCUGUCGUUUGCUUGGUUCAUGUUGUGGUGAGACGCUGGUAGCGUCGUGAAGGUUAUAUAUAUGCUGGUUAUAUCUGUUUCUGCCUGUCUGUGAUA